rnacentral:rRNA from 1 species
UGCUAUACUGCAGUCGUACGCUUCUUUUUCCACCGGAGCUUGCUCCACCGGAAAAAGAGGAGUGGCGAACGGGUGAGUAACACGUGGGUAACCUGCCCAUCAGAAGGGGAUAACACUUGGAAACAGGUGCUAAUACCGUAUAACAAUCGAAACCGCAUGGUUUUGAUUUGAAAGGCGCUUUCGGGUGUCGCUGAUGGAUGGACCCGCGGUGCAUUAGCUAGUUGGUGAGGUAACGGCUCACCAAGGCCACGAUGCAUAGCCGACCUGAGAGGGUGAUCGGCCACAUUGGGACUGAGACACGGCCCAAACUCCUACGGGAGGCAGCAGUAGGGAAUCUUCGGCAAUGGACGAAAGUCUGACCGAGCAACGCCGCGUGAGUGAAGAAGGUUUUCGGAUCGUAAAACUCUGUUGUUAGAGAAGAACAAGGAUGAGAGUAACUGUUCAUCCCUUGACGGUAUCUAACCAGAAAGCCACGGCUAACUACGUGCCAGCAGCCGCGGUAAUACGUAGGUGGCAAGCGUUGUCCGGAUUUAUUGGGCGUAAAGCGAGCGCAGGCGGUUUCUUAAGUCUGAUGUGAAAGCCCCCGGCUCAACCGGGGAGGGUCAUUGGAAACUGGGAGACUUGAGUGCAGAAGAGGAGAGUGGAAUUCCAUGUGUAGCGGUGAAAUGCGUAGAUAUAUGGAGGAACACCAGUGGCGAAGGCGGCUCUCUGGUCUGUAACUGACGCUGAGGCUCGAAAGCGUGGGGAGCAAACAGGAUUAGAUACCCUGGUAGUCCACGCCGUAAACGAUGAGUGCUAAGUGUUGGAGGGUUUCCGCCCUUCAGUGCUGCAGCUAACGCAUUAAGCACUCCGCCUGGGGAGUACGACCGCAAGGUUGAAACUCAAGGAAUUGACGGGGGCCCGCACAAGCGGUGGAGCAUGUG